UUAGGGUUAGGGUUAAAGGGAAAGGAAACUUAACUUCAUAUGGAAAGGAAACUUAACUUCAAAGGAAACUUAACUUCAAAUUUAAACUUUUCUUAAAACAAAAUGCUGAUUGUUUUAAUAAAAAUUAAAAUAAAAUGUAUUUCCAACUGUUUUUAAAUGGUUUUAAAUAUUUUUAAAUGUUUUUUAAGUUUUAAUCUAGUUUUUAAAUGUUUUUAGAUUUUUUUGUUAUUUUUUAAACUUUUUUUCUCUAAAUAAACUAUGUACAAUCAAAUAUGUGUGCCCACGACAACGUUUCGACCCCUUGUGGGUCUUCUUCAGGUCUGGCACACCUCACUCAACAAAAAAACUCUCUCUUGAAUGAAAAACAAAAGAUGCUGGCUGGUAAUUCUAAAGAUGUUCUCUCUUCAAGCUUCUGAGUGGAAAUGAAAGCCCUACCAACUUUUCUCCCUUUUUAUACCCUCAGACAAUAAUUAGAGUGAAUUUACUUAUAUUUAAGUUAUUUUCUGCUCUAUUUAGUUUUUGAAAUGUUAACCCUUUCUGCACCGUUUGUGCUUUUAAUCCAUAUUAAUUAUGUUUAUUCACAUAUUUGUGCUUUAAUAAACAUAUUAAUAGGUAUUUUUUAAUCCCAAGAUUAGGGUUACGGUCCUGCUUGACCUUUGACCUCUGUGGCCUGCUUGGCCGUUGGUCAUUAAGUUGCCUCUAAUGGUUAGGGUUAGGGUUAGGGGUUAGGGUUAGGGUUAAGGUUAGGAGGCUCCCACUUCUCCUAUGUGUCCUGAAGAGCAAACAUCUCACAGACAUACUCAGACAAGUCCGGACAUGUUUCUUUUUGUGCCCAUAGCCUGAAGAAGACCCACAGCGGUCGAAACGUUGCAACUGGGCACUCUUUAUCACACCUUUUCUUUAUUUCUUCCUCCUC